CCUCUCCCUCAGUAGUUUGCCUGUGUAGACGGUUGAUAGAUUGGUACAUGAUGCCUCUCCCUCAGUAGUUUGCCUGUGUAGACGGUUGAUAGAUUGGUACAUGAUGCCUCUCCCUCAGUAGUUUGCCUGUGUAGAUGGUUGAUAGAUUGGCACAUGAUGCCUCUCCCUCAGUAGUUUGCCUGUGUAGAUGGUUGAUAGAAAGUUGUACUAAAUUAAUGUCUUCUUCCGUAGCUUGCUUAGCAUGCUCUCCCAUCAAGAAAAUGGAGUGUGGUGUGUGAAGAUGUGAUGUGUGAAGAUUUGAGGACGGGAAUUGGUGUGAAGAUUUGAGGACGGGAAUUGGUGUGAAGAUUUGAGGACGGGAAUUGGAUAUGUGUACCAAUAUGAAACUCCGGCUGGAUCUGAAAUUGAGGUGUACUCAAACAGUGUUUGUGGAGAUCUUAUGACUCCAAUAGCCUACUGUGGCAUGAACAAGCCUUUUGAGGCACAUCUCUCUGAUAAGGUGAUAAAUGUGAACAACAGUGCUGUCAUCCUCUCUGAAUGCCUGAAUCUGACAUUCACAUUCUUUCAUGUUCUCCAGGGCAAGGUGGAGGAGCGCCAUUUGUAUUACAUUGUUGCAGGGCAAGGUGGAGGAGUGCCAUUUGUAUUACAUUGUUGCAGGUAAAGAAUGAUUUUAGAGAUACUUACUUCCCAUGUGUCUUCUCUUAAGGGCAAGGUGGAAGAGUGCCAUUUGUAUUACAUUGUUGCAGGGCAAGGUGGAGGAGUGCCAUUUGUAUUACAUUGUUGCAGGAAAUGGAGACAAAGCCAAAGCCACUGGCCACACAAAGGAAAUCACUGCUGGUGUUCUUGGUUCUGCUGCUGGGCAUUGCUGGUUUCUUAGUGUACAGAUAUGGCAACAUUCCUUGGAGAGACAAACAUCCAUCGGCUGGGUCGGGACUACCUUAACACCAACAGGGAAAAACAAAGGUGAGUCAGACUCUGUCAACCUGAGGACAGUUUUAGUAGUUACGUGGUUUAAUGUGCUGAAGUGUUUCAUGUUACAUGACUAAAUAUCAGUUAUCAUGCCAGACAACAGCUUAGAGCAGCAAGAAGUAACACGUGUUGUUGUUUUAACUUCUCUAAGGGACAACGGAGAACCUGAUCCAGCUGCUGGGGACGCCGAGUCUCUCCGAUAUGCGCUUGUCUAUAAUCUAUAACUGCAUGUGUCCCUUUGAACCAUCAGGGACCAGGGGGAUGGGGUGGAAGAGGAGAGGGAGCCACCACACAGUCAGGAGACACAUGUUGAGUCCUCUCUGCUGAAUGGGCAUCUUGUGAACAGGUUAACCUUUCUCUGAGAAAGACCCUCAUUACUUCAUUACCGGUUGGGUUUCAUUAUCCUCAGUCAGAGCUGAUCCCAUGAGUCAUUGAUCCCACAGGUUUAAUAGAAAGACCCGUUUGUUUAACACGUGCUCCUUAUAUUCUAAUACCUGUAAUACCUAAUGAGCAUGGUAAAUGCUCAUGCAAGGAGAGAGAGGUGAGCCCAUUCAGCCAAUGGGCCGUGAGGGAACAGAUACUGAAUUCUCUCAGAAGAGAAAUGCUGGAUUUCAUUUUGAGACAGUUUGCUACAGCAGGAAAAUAAUCCUGCAGCAACAGGAAAUGUGAAUUGUUACGUGAGUUGAUAGAUUUUUCAUUAGGGCAAAUCAAAUCGGUCAUUUUAAGGUAGAAAUUACCAACUUUCAAUGCCCUUUUAAACUUUGAAUACACUACAGGUUUGCAUUUCCUGCUGUGCAGGAAAAUGCUCAGCAACCAAAGAGUGAUCAAUUUAAGAUCGUACCUCUGUAAUCUCACAAUGGGGCAUGUAAUAACGUUUGUCUUGUGGUGGAUCAAUGAUGAUGUCAGGUAAACUUCACUACAUAUUGAUACAUCCACAACUCAUUGGUAUAAUGUCACCAACCCCAUUUUCCCACGGUUCCUCUGUCUGUUUAGGGGACAGUAUUGUGGUGGAUCAUGAAUGUGAAUGUUGAUGUCUUAUUACUCCAACAGGGUUAACGAUGAGACUAAGGAAGCGACUCCUGGUGCACAGAGUCCAGGACCUCCUCAGACGAAUGGAGGACCUCCCAUGUCUGACAGGUUGGAGAACAACCCUGUUGGUCAGUGGAUGAAGAAAACUGCUCUGGUGAACAAGCAGGACCAGGACUGGUCAGCAACGGCAUGAAGCCAGUUGAAAAUAUAUAGCAUAUAAGAUGAAACUAAGUGUAAAUAUAAUAAAAAAUAACAUGAUAUACACUGUAAUAUAGAACAGUAUAAUAUAAUAUGACAUGAUAUAAUAUCGUAACACUUACUUGUAUAGUGUUAUAUAUUCUAAUGAAUGCAUUCUUAACAACAUGAAUGAUGCAUUAAUGCAUACAUAGGACAUAACUGUAUAGUAAAAUUAUAAUAUAAUACUGUGCUGGUAAGCUGCUAGCUGUGGGGUUGCCCCCAGCUGUGGUUUCUAUUAUUCAGAGUAUCUAAGCUCAACUUCAAAUCCAUAGUUUUUAGCUUAGUUCUUACCGUAAACUAGCACUUCUUAGAGACAAAGUUAUGGGACAUGCUGUAUAACUACUUACCAUUCUGAAGUGUAACAGUCAAGUUUAUAUGUAACAAUUGUUCAUCCCUUUUUUAAAUGUUUAUUUAUAUAUUUGUUUGCUUGAUUAGAUUGAAUUAGUAUGACUAAUGCAUUAUUUUACCCUCCCGUAUAGAGGGACAUUAUUUUACCCUCCUGUAUAGAGGGACAUUAUUUUACCCUCCUGUAUAGAGGGACAUUAUUUUACCCUCCUGUAUAGAGGGACAUUAUUUUACCCUCCCAUAUAGAGGGACAUUAUUUUACCCUCCCGUAUAGAGGGACAUUAUUUUACCCUCCCGUAUAGAGGGACAUUAUUUUACCCUCCCGUAUAGAGGGACAUUAUUUUACCCUCCCGUAUAGAGGGACAUUAUUUUACCCUCCCGUAUAGAGGGACAUUAUUUUACCCUCCUGUAUAGAGGGACAUUAUGUUACCCUCCUG
ensembl:lncRNA